AGAGCGAACGCUGGCGGCGUGCUUAACACAUGCAAGUCGAGCGGAAAGGCCCUUCGGGGUACUCGAGCGGCGAACGGGUGAGUAACACGUGAGCAACCUGCCCUUAGCUCUGGGGAUAGCUCCGGGAAAACCGGAUUAAUACCGGAUAUGACCUAGGCCGACAUCGGCCGUGGUGGAAAGUUUUUCGGCUAGGGAUGGACUCGCGGCCUAUCAGCUAGUUGGUGGGGUAAUGGCCUACCAAGGCGACGACGGGUA
rnacentral:rRNA from 1 species